rnacentral:rRNA from 1 species
GAUGAACGCUGGCGGCGUGCCUAAUACAUGCAAGUCGAGCGAACAGACGAGGAGCUUGCUCCUCUGAUGUUAGCGGCGGACGGGUGAGUAACACGUGGAUAACCUACCUAUAAGACUGGGAUAACUUCGGGAAACCGGAGCUAAUACCGGAUAACAUGUUGAACCGCUUGGUUCAACAGUGAAAGACGGUCUUGCUGUCACUUAUAGAUGGAUCCGCGCCGCAUUAGCUAGUUGGUAAGGUAACGGCUUACCAAGGCAACGAUGCGUAGCCGACCUGAGAGGGUGAUCGGCCACACUGGAACUGAGACACGGUCCAGACUCCUACGGGAGGCAGCAGUAGGGAAUCUUCCGCAAUGGGCGAAAGCCUGACGGAGCAACGCCGCGUGAGUGAAGAAGGUCUUCGGAUCGUAAAACUCUGUUAUUAGGGAAGAACAAAUGUGUAAGUAACUAUGCACGUCUUGACGGUACCUAAUCAGAAAGCCACGGCUAACUACGUG